GACGAACGCUGGCGGCGUGCUUAACACAUGCAAGUCGAACGGAAAGGCCCUGCUUUUGUGGGGUGCUCGAGUGGCGAACGGGUGAGUAACACGUGAGUAACCUGCCCUUGACUUUGGGAUAACUUCAGGAAACUGGGGCUAAUACCGGAUAGGAGCUCCUGCUGCAUGGUGGGGGUUGGAAAGUUUCGGCGGUUGGGGAUGGACUCGCGGCUUAUCAGCUUGUUGGUGGGGUAGUGGCUUACCAAGGCUUUGACGGGUAGCCGGCCUGAGAGGGUGACCGGCCACAUUGGGACUGAGAUACGGCCCAGACUCCUACGGGAGGCAGCAGUGGGGAAUAUUGCACAAUGGGCGGAAGCCUGAUGCAGCAACGCCGCGUGCGGGAUGACGGCCUUCGGGUUGUAAACCGCUUUCGCCUGUGACGAAGCGUGAGUGACGGUAAUGGGUAAAGAAGCACCGGCUAACUACGUGCCAGCAGCCGCGGUGAUACGUAGGGUGCGAGCGUUGUCCGGAUUUAUUGGGCGUAAAGGGCUCGUAGGUGGUUGAUCGCGUCGGAAGUGUAAUCUUGGGGCUUAACCCUGAGCGUGCUUUCGAUACGGGUUGACUUGAGGAAGGUAGGGGAGAAUGGAAUUCCUGGUGGAGCGGUGGAAUGCGCAGAUAUCAGGAGGAACACCAGUGGCGAAGGCGGUUCUCUGGGGCCUUUCCUGACGCUGAGGAGCGAAAGCGUGGGGAGCGAACAGGCUUAGAUACCCUGGUAGUCCACGCUGUAAACGGUGGGUACUAGGUGUGGGGUCCAUUCCACGGGUUCCGUGCCGUAGCUAACGCUUUAAGUACCCCGCCUGGGGAGUACGGCCGCAAGGCUAAAACUCAAAGGAAUUGACGGGGCCCCGCACAAGCGGCGGAGCAUGCGGAUUAAUUCGAUGCAACGCGUAGAACCUUACCUGGGUUUGACAUGGAUCGGGAGUGCUCAGAGAUGGGUGUGCCUCUUUUGGGGUCGGUUCACAGGUGGUGCAUGCCUGUCGUCAGCUCGUGUCGUGAGAUGUUGGGUUAAGUCCCGCAACGAGCGCAACCCUUGUUCACUGUUGCCAGCACGUUAUGGUGGGGACUCAGUGGAGACCGCCGGGGUCAACUCGGAGGAAGGUGGGGAUGACGUCAAGUCCUCAUGCCCCUUAUGUCCAGGGCUUCACGCAUGCUACAAUGGCUGGUACAGAGAGUGGCGAGCCUGUGAGGGUGAGCGAAUCUCGGAAAGCCGGUCUCAGUUCGGAUUGGGGUCUGCAACUCGACCUCAUGAAGUCGGAGUCGCUAGUAGUCGCAGAUCAGCAACGCUGCGGUGAAUACGUUCCCGGGGCU
rnacentral:rRNA from 1 species